UACACCUGACUACGUGCCGACAUUACGCGAACAGUAGGGUAUUAUACGGACCAUGCCAAAGUCCGUAUAAAUCAAACAGUGUAUUCUCACUCAGUAGCAUCUAAAUAACAUAUCCUCUCUUUUAUUUUGAUAGUCCGUCUUAACCGUUUGACCUGACUUUGAGUGUAUCCCAGUGUAUAGUCCAGCACGCCAUGCGGACAGGGAGGUAUUGCAGUUUUUUACACAUUUCUGAUACACACGGUGAAUUUUGGCGGGCUGCGUUGUGAUUGGCUGCUUUACGCCCAUGCUACGUGACGUCAUUCCAAGCUCCGUCAACGCGACACGCCCCCUUUUAAAGAGCUGCAGGAUGCCGUGAUCGGAGGAUUAAAAGCACAGGUAAGCAAAGAUAUUGAUAAAUACAGUCGCUUUUUUGCUUGAGUAAGUGUUUUGAUGAGAGCAAUAGCCUCUGUACACAGUAAUAUGUGUGUUUUUGGUGUGGAUGAUUUUGCAUUUUGUGUUGUAAGAAGCUAAUUCGGCUAACGUAGCUAGCACAUGUGCACCUGUAGCAUCUGUACACAGACAUGUGCUCUUUUUAUUUAACGUUAGCAUUUAGCAUUGUAAUAGGGUAAUUCAGCUAAUAUAGCUAUCAUGUGUGCACAGCAGCUGUUAGUUUUGUAGCCUAAGUGAUGUUGUGUUAUAGAGAAAACAGUGACACAAGCAGUUAAAGGGAUUAAAAAGGAAUGAUAAUGUCAAUCUGUAAAUUUAAUUACCUGAGUACUGGGGCAGGUAUGAGUUAUGAACACAGUCUCAUGCUUGUUAUAUUGGUUAGUUGAUUAUUUUUUAAGUCUUUUUUUUUUUUUGGUUUAAAGAGGGAUCUUUGCCUAGUUAGUUGCCUUUUGUUCAUUAAAUAAUGAUGGAACAGUUUAAAACCCUCUGAUAACACACAUUGUAAUGAUAAAAUCUCAAGCCCUUAUUCAUGUUAAUGUCAUAAUUUAAAUGUGAAGUCAUAGAGACCACAAAAUGCAAUUUCAAGGGGCCAUCACACAAUGCACAACCAAAUAAAGACUGUAAGGCAGGUAUGUCCAAAAUAUUCCACAAAGCGCCAUGUGGCUGCAGGUUUUUGUUCCAACCGAUCAAAAGCACACAGAGUGACCAAUCAAAAAGUCAGGUGUGCUGCUGCUUGGUUGGAACAAAAACUGCAGCCACAUGGCCCUUUGUGGAAUAGUUUGGAUAUGUCAGCUGUAAGGGGAUAACCGGAGUUGGUUUAGUCAGAGGUUCCCAUAUUGUAGAAAAUGUUGUAUACUGUCAGACAACAUUAUGCUUGCCCUCCAUGCCAGGAAAACAUGCAAAGGCGAAGACGCAUUAAUCCCACGGACGAUGCAAAAUUUUAUGCGAGUGCUGGAAGGGACAAAGUGGGACUUGACAUCAGAUACAUCAGUGCCUUUAAAGGUCGUGGUAUCUUCACCUCCACUCCAUUUGAAAAAGGAGAUUUUCUGUUGGAAUAUAGAGGGGAACUAAUAAGUAGGCAAGAAUGUGAGAGCAGACAGAGACUUUACCAUGACAGCCUGAAGGUGUUCAUGUUUGAGUUCCGUUUUAAUGGAAAACUGUGGUGUGUUGACGCAGCAAAAGAGGAUGGGUCACUUGGAAGGCUUGUAAAUGAUGACCAUUUAAAUCCCAAUGCCAAGAUGAAGUACUUGACAGUGGAAGGGAAGCCCCAUCUGUGUUUGUUUGCAACACGUGACAUAAGUCCAGGAGAGGAGAUCACCUAUAAUUAUGGUGAAUCAGACUGGCCAUGGAGAUGCAAGGUGGUCAAAAUUAUACUUUGUGAAACUCAUAGUUCUCAUAAAGGACAUCCUCUUACCAUACAAUAAUUACCAUACAUAAACAUAUUCUAUCUUGCUUUGUCCGUAACAUAAUUUAUAGUGCAUUAAAUACAGUAAUUCAAAUUCAUGGUUGAUGUAGUGAAAUACAUCUACACUGCCACAUACACACAUGAAAGACAAUGAUUGUAUUAGAACAUUUAUAUUUCCUUGAUUUCAUCAGUCUGAUAUCUGUCAUUAAAAUCUCCAGACACUUAAAGAAACAUCUAUGGAGGGGCAUCAGGAUGAGGUGUCCAUAUCGGAGCCCACUACAGGUACUCAAAAGGCAUCAACUAGUCGGAGGCGAAAAAAGGCAUCUAUGGCUGCAUCAACUGGUCAACUGGUUAAAAGCUUUGAUCAGAAUCCUGAUGAGGAAAUACCUCAGGAAAAUUCUGAGACUACAAUUUUGACACCCCUAACUGAAGAUUUUGAAGAGCCAUUGGCUGAGAGCAGUC